UGGGGAAUUUUGGACAAUGGGCGAAAGCCUGAUCCAGCAAUGCCGCGUGUGUGAAGAAGGCCUUCGGGUUGUAAAGCACUUUUGUCCGGAAAGAAAUCCUUGGCUCUAAUACAGUCGGGGGAUGACGGUACCGGAAGAAUAAGCACCGGCUAACUACGUGCCAGCAGCCGCGGUAAUACGUAGGGUGCAAGCGUUAAUCGGAAUUACUGGGUGUAAAGCGUGCGCAGGCGGUUUGCUAAGACCGAUGUGAAAUCCCCGGGCUCAACCUGGGAACUGCAUUGGUGACUGGCAGGCUAGAGUAUGGCAGAGGGGGGUAGAAUUCCACGUGUAGCAGUGAAAUGCGUAGAGAUGUGGAGGAAUACCGAUGGCGAAGGCAGCCCCCUGGGCCAAUACUGACGCUCAUGCACGAAAGCGUGGGGGAGCAAACAGGAUUAGAUACCCUGGUAGUCCACGCCCUAAACGAUGUCAACUAGUUGUUGGGGAUUCAUUUCCUUAGUAACGUAGCUAACGCGCGAAGUUGACCGCCUGGGGAGUACGGUCGCAAGAUUAAAACUCAAAGGAAUUGACGGGGUCAUAGCUGUUUCCU
rnacentral:rRNA from 1 species